GGGUGAGUAACACGUGAGCAACCUACCCUCAACUUUGGGAUAAGCCUCGGAAACGGGGUCUAAUACCGGAUAACACCACAAUUCUCCUGGGUUGUGGUUGAAAGUUCUGGCGGUUGGGGAUGGGCUCGCGGCCUAUCAGCUUGUUGGUGGGGUAAUGGCCUACCAAGGCGUCGACGGGUAGCCGGCCUGAGAGGGCGACCGGCCACACUGGGACUGAGACACGGCCCAGACUCCUACGGGAGGCAGCAGUGGGGAAUAUUGCGCAAUGGACGAAAGUCUGACGCAGCAACGCCGCGUGAGGGAUGACGGCCUUCGGGUUGUAAACCUCUUUCAGCAGGGACGAAGCGAGAGUGACGGUACCUGCAGAAGAAGGACCGGCCAACUACGUGCCAGCAGCCGCGGUAAUACGUAGGGUCCGAGCGUUGUCCGGAAUUAUUGGGCGUAAAGGGCUCGUAGGCGGUUCGUCACGUCGGGAGUGAAAACUCGGGGCUUAACCCCGAGCCUGCUUCCGAUACGGGCAGACUAGAGGUAGGCAGGGGAGAGCGGAACUGCCUGCUUCCGAUACGGGCAGACUAGAGGUAGGCAGGGGAGAGCGGAACUAGGCGGCUCUCUGGGCCUUACCUGACGCUGAGGAGCGAAAGCGUGGGUAGCGAACAGGAUUAGAUACCCUGGUAGUCCACGCCGUAAACGUUGGGCGCUAGGUGUGGGGGACAUUCCACGUCCUCCGUGCCGCAGCUAACGCAUUAAGCGCCCCGCCUGGGGAGUACGGCCGCAAGGCUAAAACUCAAAGGAAUUGACGGGGGCCCGCACAAGCGGCGGAGCAUGCGGAUUAAUUCGAUGCAACGCGAAGAACCUUACCUGGGUUUGACAUAUAGGGAAAUCUCGCAGAGAUGCGGGGUCCGUAAGGGUCCUAUACAGGUGGUGCAUGGCUGUCGUCAGCUCGUGUCGUGAGAUGUUGGGUUAAGUCCCGCAACGAGCGCAACCCUCGUCCUAUGUUGCCAGCACGUCCUUCGGGAUGGUGGGGACUCAUAGGAGACUGCCGGGGUCAACUCGGAGGAAGGUGGGGAUGACGUCAAGUCAUCAUGCCCCUUAUGUCCAGGGCUUCACGCAUGCUACAAUGGCCGGUACAAAGGGCUGCGAAACUGUAAGGUGGAGCGAAUCCCAAAAAGCCGGUCUCAGUUCGGAUUGGGGUCUGCAACUCGACCCCAUGAAGUCGGAGUCGCUAGUAAUCGCAGAUCAGCAACGCUGCGGUGAAUACGUUCCCGGGCCUUGUACACACCGCCCGUCACGUCAUGAAAGUCGGCAACACCCGAAGCCGGUGGCCUAACCCUUGUGGAGGGAU
rnacentral:rRNA from 1 species